rnacentral:rRNA from 1 species
GUCGAGAAUAAUUCACAAUGGGGGCAACCCUGAUGGUGCAACGCCGCGUGGAGGAUGAAGGUCUUCGGAUUGUAAACUCCUGUCAUCCGGGAGCAAGACCUGGCCGUGAAUAGCGGACAGGGUUGAUAGUACCGGAAGAGGAAGGGACGGCUAACUUCGUGCCAGCAGCCGCGGUAAUACGAAGGUCCCGAGCGUUGUUCGGAAUCACUGGGCGUAAAGGGAGCGUAGGCGGCGCGGUAAGUCAGAUGUGAAAUCCUAGGGCUCAACCCUGGAACGGCGUCCGAUACGGCUGGGCUUGAGCAAUGGAGAGGUAGCCGGAAUUCUCGGUGUAGCAGUGAAAUGCGUAGAUAGCGAGAGGAACACUCGUGGCGAAAGCGGGCUACUGGACAUUUGCUGACGCUGAGGCUCGAAGGCCGGGGGAGCGAAAGGGAUUAGAUACCCGGGUAGUCC